UUAAUUUGAGAAGUGCAAUCAUAGACAUAUCCUAUUUGGGGAGCUGAAGAAAUGGCAGAGAUAGGAAACGAUAUUCUUGCAGCACAGCAUGCAGCAGGGUGGGAUGUUGACAUUCCACUUCCAAAUGUUUUCACGGUUGCAGUCGGGGCUCGACGGUUCAGAGUUCGUUGCAGACCUCACGGAGGCAGGUAUCGCAUCUAUGGCGAUGAGUGGCGCAGUUUUGUUAACUCAAAUGUGGGAGCAGUGGUUACUCUUCACGCCAGAGAAGAGGGUGAGGACUUCCACAACCUAGAAGUGAGGCGGUGAGCUUCAUAAGCGUCUACAAAUUAAAGAAAUGCUACCCGUGGAGCUUCAUAUAUAUAUUUGUUUUGUGCGUUGUUUGUCUGUUUAUAAUUUCUGAGAAAAUGCAAAAUGCUUUUGUUUUUCAUUUUCUCAGUAUUAGUAAUGUUUAAUGAUUGUGUUGUAUUUCUAUUUUAAAUGCGAUUUUCUUUUUUCUCUUACCUUGCCAC
rnacentral:lncRNA from 1 species